ensembl:rRNA 5S_rRNA 5S ribosomal RNA
GUCUACAGCCAUGCCACCCUAAACAUGCCCGAUCUCGGAAGCAAAGCAGGGUCGGGCCUGGUUAGUAUUGGAUAGGAAAAGUGGCUUCGAUGAAGAUU